CAUCAUAUUUAUAGCUAUAUAUAUAUAUAUUACAAUCAAUUGGUUACCUGUUAGUAUCCUACAUUGAUUCAUGCUAGCAAGAUAAAACUUUGGAAUAAUAUAAUAUAUACUUGCUUAGAAUAUAUAGUUUGAUUCAUAAUAAGAGGUCUAGAUUUCAAGUGUCUAAUCCAUGCUGUUGUGUUUUUAAAGUGCUGGUUUUAUUUGUUUUCGGAUAUAAAAGUAGUGUUUGGUUUUAAAAAAUAAAAAUCAAAUCACAUAAAAUUUAAAAUAAAUAUGUUUUAUUUUUAACAUAAAGCAGAUAUUAAUUUCAUGAUCUUAAAUAAAAGUAAAAUAAUUUAUUUCUGAGUUCAUUGUUUUAUCAAAUAAAAAUACAAUCUUAUAAAAAAAACACAGCAUUCAAUUGUCAAUACUAUUUUUAUCCCUCGUCACAACACAACAACUAAAGAACAUAGCUAGGUAGUCAGGAUCUUAAGUUUUGGAAGCAGUGGGGGGCUAUGGAACCCUAAAGAUGAUUGGUGUAAAGUACAAACAUGUGCAAGCCCUUGCACAGAAGGCUACGAGGAGCUCUCAAAAAGUAGUAGGCCUAGGGCACAGAUAAAAGGCAUGGCCAGGAGCUCGGUGCUGGCUUGGACCAGGACCAGAAGAACUUGUGGAGAAAUGGGCUAUGACCAUCUCCUCGGUCUGCCCAGGGAAAAGCAGCGUGGAGAUUUGGAAAAGCCCCCGCUACCAUUGAUUUCUCGAUUAUCAAUUGCCAUAGAAAGGACUAUCUUCAUUGGUUAACUUCGGCCCAGUAAAUUAGUCGGCGAGGUUGAUGCAAGCUCAUCUAAAUACUUAUAUUAAUAAAAAAAGAAAUUACCUUCCUUCAUUGAUUCACCCUUUCCAAGGGACUCGUUCCUUCUCUACAGGAGAGGAUGUAAGACGCCUCCGUUUCCAUGCUCUUUGGUAGGAAUCUUGAGCUGUAAUAGCUAGCAUGUAUGAUUCUUACCCAUAACAUAUUUGCUCCUCAAAUAACCUCAUGUAUUAGCUUGUAGCACUCGUCAUUUGUUAUUGGUGCGGAGGUUGCGGGAAAAAAAGUUAUUGUGGGAAAACAGAGUGCCAGGAAAGAAAAGGCUUGCUCUGUUUCUCUCGCUCUUUGUAUCUACUUCGUCUCAAAUUUCAAUUUUGGUAAAAAUGACCGAUAUGUUUUCGUGUC